rnacentral:misc_RNA from 1 species
AAGUCGUAACAAGGUUUCCGUAGGUGAACCUGCGGAAGGAUCAUUACCAACAGGAUCGCGAGGCGCCUGGGAGGGGUAGGACCCCUAACUCGCCCGAUCGGUCGGACCCGUGCCCACACAACGCGAGAGCUUCUCUCGAGGGGGGCGUUGGCGGCUCUUGACCGGCCGCCCGCCUAUAGACGGGGCCUUCCCUUUGGGUGGGGCUUCUCCCGACGUCCUUGUUUUCCACAACCUUCACCCUUGAUUACCUUAGCCUUUGUUGCCUCGGCGGGCCCGCCCGCCAGAGGACACAACCUAAACCACUGUUGUAAACGGCGAAGUCUGAGCUAUAAAGCAAUUGUUUAAAACUUUCAACAACGGAUCUCUUGGUUCUG